AACAAAGUGUCUAGUUAAGCUGCCAGGAAAACUGCAUUUUCUUUUCACUGAUCACUAAGGUUGCUAACUCUCCAGGAUUUGGUUAGAGUCUCUAGGAAUUGCCAUUGAUCUCCAGAUCCUUUUGGUAACAAAAGCACUCAGCUGAGAAAAAACAACAACAAAACCCCUCAAAGAGCAAUUUGAUAACCAUGAAAGAAAACAUCUAAGAAGCUUAUGCCUAAUAAUAUUUUAAAAUAAACAUGCAACUCCUUGAAAUAUCUUUGACUUACUUUACUGGAGAUCAGCCAGGAGAAAGGAUUUCAAACCC